rnacentral:rRNA from 1 species
UCAAGAUAGAACAGAGCAAGGGUGGACCCGCAAUACGUCGACCCGGGGGAUUCAACCAGGCCGUUGGGCACGGGACGCGCGGGGGUUUUGCUGAGCUGUAAAGCCAGUGCCUUCGCGUGGGUCUCCGGGCGGACUGGUGCACUUUCCUCGGGUCGAUUGCCACGACCGGCUCUCCGUGCGGCCAAAAGCCUGUCGCUGGGAAGGUGACCGACGGCCCCAGUGCCGGCGGUGUUAUAGCCCAGCUCGUUCGUUGCGCUCGUCGGAGGSCCGAGGAAGUGUUGCCGCCUCUCAAUCACCCUCCGGCCAUCCUUGCUCGUCACGACUGGGGUGGACUGCUUCGUCAGUGCUCUCCCGACCGCGAGCGUAGGAAGGGUUGGAACGGUGCGAGAAGCUUCGGGCCAGUGGCGAAUCGGUCGGUCCUCCACCCGACCCGUCUUGAAACACGGACCAAG